AGUAACGCGUGGGUAACCUGCCUUGUACAGGGGGAUAACAGUUGGAAACGGCUGCUAAUACCGCAUAAGCGCAUGGCAUCGCAUGAUGCAGUGUGAAAAACUCCGGUGGUAUAAGAUGGACCCGCGUUGGAUUAGCUAGUUGGUGAGGUAACGGCCCACCAAGGCGACGAUCCAUAGCCGACCUGAGAGGGUGACCGGCCACAUUGGGACUGAGACACGGCCCAA
rnacentral:rRNA from 1 species